ACAGCCCCCACGGCCCCUCGGAUGCUGGGCAGGUUCACUGUGUCUGCCAGGGCAAAAAGCAAAGUGGAGCAGAGCUCCUGCAGGUCACACAGCACCCACUGGAGACUGUGCUGUGGCUGGAAUGGCUCUCUCUAAACCAGCAUUGUCCCGAAAGGACACAGCGGGUUUAGCAGGUCAGGUUAUUAAGCACAUUGAAAUGAUCAGUAGCUUGUCCUCACCUCUUGGUUUCGCAGACAAAUUAAAACUCAAUUCAACCCAUUUUGGCUGUGUGGGGGCUACUAGUAGGAAAAACUUGCUGUAUUUGCUUUCUGUACUCAAGGAAUUUAUGAUUGCAGAAGGGAUGCUUGGUACUUGCACACUGAGACUCCCAAAUUUAUUUCUACUGGAAACCACCAUAGAUGGGCACAUUUUAAGGACAGACACCAUCUUUGGGGAAACAACCAAACUAUGCUCUUCAAGCCCUUCUGUACUUCACAGCAGCUAUAGGGGCUGUUAACAUAGAAGAGAUUAUUAGAUUGGAUGAAAAUCCUUUGUUUUAUACCAUUCUGAUCAAACAUUUUGAGUUACCUUUGCCUUUUUAAACAAUUUGUGCUUAAAUUGAUAUUCCAUAGAGCAACUUCCCAUAGUUUUGCAGCCAUUGGUAUGCAAAAAUCCAUCUUUUUUCCUAUUAUUUUCUUCUGUUUAGAUUUUUAUUUGCUUCCUGUUGUUACUCACAAGGAUUUGGAGCUCACAUAUGAGCUAAGUGAAAGAAAUGCUGACCGUGGCCACUUCCAAGCAGAUCUCAAACCAACUCUCCUACUUAGGAACCAUCCAGCUCCUUGGGAAGGAGACAAUAGAAACAAGUGAAGAAGGCUGCAGGACCAGGAAUGGUGGGAAUGGCUGUGGGCCAGCGCUGAGCAGGGGAGGCAAGCACCAAAUGACCUUUGGAAAGGGCUGACCGAUGGUGGCCAAGGACAGCAGCACAGGCAUGCUGAUGGCUCAGGAAUCACAGCCCAGGGGCAGAAAGGAUCCACUGGGGAAGAGAUGCUCUCUCCAUGGGAACAGCCAAGGCUUCAGGCAGGGAGUGGGGCUGUGUUGGGUGGCCAGAGCUCUUGGUCCAGCACCGCACCGUCAUUGUUGCAAAAUGUGGAAUGUGUCUUUAGAUUAUCUCAAGUCAGGAUGUUCUUUGAUGUUAGAAUUUUGUAUACUUUCAAGCCUAAUCAGCAAGAAAGGAGGGCUAAUCAGUGGAACAGGCAGCAGCCAGCAUCCCUUACUCAAGGACACUCUGGAACUAAUAAGCUUUAGGGAUGACAUUGCUAACUUGGCCAAAUACUCAAGGUCCAUGUGUCCUAGACCUGAACUAUCUUCAUUAUAAUACUAAAAAUCACACCUACAGGUCGAAAGAACCAUGCCCAGGUGAAGACCCUUGCCCUGAGCGUGCGCAGAAUUUAUCUGGGGUUGUGUGAUUUGUAUGGGAAUUACUAAUCAAUCCUAAUAGAGCAGACUGAAAAGUUACUGUAAUGCUUGCAAAGUCACUAACUCAGAAUUUGCGUGCAAAUAAUGGUGCAAAAAGUCCAGUGGGGAGUGCUGGGCUUGUGGAAUACCAACGAGCAUCCAGGCUCAGGCAGCUCUGAAAUCAGGAAUCAGUAUAUCUCUCUCUCUCAU